AUUGAACGCUGGCGGCAGGCCUAACACAUGCAAGUCGAGCGGAUGAAGGGAGCUUGCUCCUGGAUUCAGCGGCGGACGGGUGAGUAAUGCCUAGGAAUCUGCCUGGUAGUGGGGGAUAACGUCCGGACACGGGCGCUAAUACCGCAUACGUCCUGAGGGUGAAAGUGGGGGAUCUUCGGACCUCACGCUAUCAGAUGAGCCUAGGUCGGAUUAGCUAGUUGGUGGGGUAAAGGCCUACCAAGGCGACGAUCCGUAACUGGUCUGAGAGGAUGAUCAGUCACACUGGAACUGAGACACGGUCCAGACUCCUACGGGAGGCAGCAGUGGGGAAUAUUGGACAAUGGGCGAAAGCCUGAUCCAGCCAUGCCGCGUGUGUGAAGAAGGUCUUCGGAUUGUAAAGCACUUUAAGUUGGGAGGAAGGGCAGUAAGUUAAUACCUUGCUGUUUUGACGUUACCAACAGAAUAAGCACCGGCUAACUUCGUG
rnacentral:rRNA from 1 species